rnacentral:snRNA from 1 species
GUGAUUCGUAAUAUAUGAUGAAAU